UUUAUUUUUAAAGACCUUUUUCGAAAGGUAUGCUUAAAGAGGGGCUUGCGACACAUUCCGUUAGUUGGUAGGGUAAAAGCCUACCAAGACUAUGAUGUGUCACUUGGACUGAGAGGUCGAACAGCCACAUUGGGACUGAGACACGGCCCAAACUCCUACGGGAGGCAGCAGUAGGGAAUUUUCGGCAAUGGAGGAAACUCUGACCGAGCAACGCCGCGUGAACGAUGAAGUAUUUCGGUAUGUAAAGUUCUUUUAUUGAAGAAGAAAAAAUAGUGGAAAAACUAUAUUGACGCUAUUCAAUGAAUAAGCCCCGGCAAACUAUGUGCCAGCAGCCGCGGUAAUACAUAGGGGGCAAGCGUUAUCCGGAAUUAUUGGGCGUAAAGGGUGCGUAGGCGGGUUAAUAAGUCUGUAGUUUAAUUUCAGNGCUUAACACUGUCCUGCUAUAGAAACUAUUANACUAGAGUGAGAUAGAGGUAAGCGGAAUUCCCUGUGUAGCGGUAAAAUGCGUAAAUAUAUGGAGGAACACCACCAGGCGUAGGCGGCUUACUGGGNCUUUACUGACGCUGAGGCACGAAAGCGUGGGGAGCAAACAGGAUUANAUACCCUGGUAGUCCACGCCGCACACGAUGAGUACUAACUGUCGGGGAAACUCACUNCUGAAGGUAACACAUUAAGUACUCCGCCCGAGUAGUACGUACGCCANUAUGAAACUUAAAUGAAUUGACUGGACUCCCCCCCCCCGGUGGAGCAUGUUGUUUAAUUCUAA
rnacentral:rRNA from 1 species